AGCAGCCGCGGUAAAUUCCAGCUCCAAUAGCGUAUAUUAAAGUUGCUGCAGUUAAAAAGCUCGUAGUUGAAUUUCGGGAUCAAUAUGUUGGUCGUGCCUUGGUACGUACUAGCUCAUUGGUUUCUCCCUUCUGACGAACCAUGAUGUCAUUAAUUUGAUGUCAUGGGGAAUCAGGACUGUUACUUUGAAAAAUUAGAGUGUUUAAAGCAGGCUCACGCCUGAAUACAUUAGCAUGGAAUAAUGAAAUAGGACGUUUGAUUCUAUUUUGUUGGUUUCUAGGAUCG
rnacentral:rRNA from 1 species